AGUAGGGAAUAUUGCGCAAUGGAGGAAACUCUGACGCAGCGACGCCGCGUGGGUGACGAAGGCCUUCGGGUCGUAAAGCCCUGUCGGAAGGGACGAAACACGGUAUGGCUAAUAUCCAUGCCGCUUGACGGUACCUUUAAAGGAAGCACCGGCUAACUACGUGCCAGCAGCCGCGGUAAUACGUAGGGUGCAAGCGUUGUUCGGAAUCAUUGGGCGUAAAGCGCGUGUAGGUGGUCAGUUAAGUUGGAUGUGAAAUCCCUGGGCUCAACCGAGGAAGUGCAUUCAAAACUGGCUGGCUAGAGGAUGGUAGAGGAAGGUGGAAUUCCAAGUGUAGAGGUGAAAUUCGUAGAUAUUUGGAGGAAUACCGGCGGCGAAGGCGGCCUUCUGGGCCAUUCCUGACACUGAGACGCGAAAGCGUGGGGAGCAAA
rnacentral:rRNA from 1 species